rnacentral:rRNA from 1 species
AUUGAACGCUGGCGGCAUGCCUUACACAUGCAAGUCGAACGGCAGCACGGGAGCAAUCCUGGUGGCGAGUGGCGAACGGGUGAGUAAUAUAUCGGAACGUGCCCGGUCGUGGGGAUAACGUAGCGAAAGCUACGCUAAUACCGCAUACGAUCUACGGAUGAAAGCGGGGGAUCGCAAGACCUCGCGCGAUUGGAGCGGCCGAUAUCAGAUUAGGUAGUUGGUGAGGUAAAGGCUCACCAAGCCGACGAUCUGUAGCUGGUCUGAGAGGACGACCAGCCACACUGGGACUGAGACACGGCCCAGACUCCUACGGGAGGCAGCAGUGGGGAAUUUUGGACAAUGGGCGCAAGCCUGAUCCAGCAAUGCCGCGUGCAGGAUGAAGGCCUUGGUGUAACUG